GAUGAACGCUGGCGGCGCGCCUAAUACAUGCAAGUAGGACGCACAGUUUAUACCGUAGCUUGCUACACCAUAGACUGUGAGUUGCGAACGGGUGAGUAACGCGUAGGUAACCUGCCUAUUAGAGGGGGAUAACUAUUGGAAACGAUAGCUAAUACCGCAUAACAGUAUGUAACACAUGUUAGAUGCUUGAAAGAUGCAAUUGCAUCGCUAGUAGAUGGACCUGCGUUGUAUUAGCUAGUAGGUAGGGUAAAGGCCUACCUAGGCAACGAUACAUAGCCGACCUGAGAGGGUGAUCGGCCACACUGGGACUGAGACACGGCCCAGACUCCUACGGGAGGCAGCAGUAGGGAAUCUUCGGCAAUGGGGGGAACCCUGACCGAGCAACGCCGCGUGAGUGAAGAAGGUUUUCGGAUCGUAAAGCUCUGUUGUUAAGGAAGAACGAGUGUGAGAAUGGAAAGUUCAUACUGUGACGGUACUUAACCAGAAAGGGACGGCUAACUACGUGCCAGCAGCCGCGGUAAUACGUAGGUGGCAAGCGUUGUCCGGAUUUAUUGGGCGUAAAGCGAGCGCAGGCGGAAAGAUAAGUCUGAUGUGAAAGCCCUCGGCUUAACCGAGGAACUGCAUCGGAAACUGUUUUUCUUGAGUGCAGAAGAGGAGAGUGGAACUCCAUGUGUAGCGGUGGAAUGCGUAGAUAUAUGGAAGAACACCAGUGGCGAAGGCGGCUCUCUGGUCUGCAACUGACGCUGAGGCUCGAAAGCAUGGGUAGCGAACAGG
rnacentral:rRNA from 1 species